rnacentral:rRNA from 1 species
AACGAACGCUGGCGGCAGGCUUAACACAUGCAAGUCGAGCGCCCCGCAAGGGGAGCGGCAGACGGGUGAGUAACGCGUGGGAACGUACCCUUUGCUACGGAAUAGCUCCGGGAAACUGGAAUUAAUACCGUAUGUGCCCUACGGGGGAAAGAUUUAUCGGCAAAGGAUCGGCCCGCGUUGGAUUAGCUAGUUGGUGGGGGAAUGGCCUACCAAGGCGACGAUCCAUAGCUGGUCUGAGAGGAUGAUCAGCCACAUUGGGACUGAGACACGGCCCAAACUCCUACGGGAGGCAGCAGUGGGGAAUAUUGGACAAUGGGCGCAAGCUUGAUCCAGCCAUGCUGCGUGAGUGAUGAAGGCCUUAGGGUUGUAAAGCUCUUUCACCGGAGAAGAUAAUGACGGUAUCCGGAGAAGAAGCCCCGGCUAACUUCGUGCCAGCCGCCGCGGUAAAAC